UACGUAGGUGGCAAGCGUUGUCCGGAUUUACUGGGCGUAAAGAGCGCGCAGGCGGUCGUUCAAGUCGCGUGUGAAAGCCCCCCGGCUCAACUGGGGAGGGUCACGCGAUACUGAUCGACUGGAAGGCAGGAGAGGGUAGUGGAAUUCCCGGUGUAGUGGUGAAAUGCGUAGAUAUCGGGAGGAACACCAGUGGCGAAGGCGACUACCUGGCCUGUUCUUGACGCUGAGGCGCGAAAGCUAGGGGAGCAAACAGG
rnacentral:rRNA from 1 species